GAUGAGAUACGCAGACAAGAAAGACAUGGAGAAGACUUGAGACCACUGAUAAUCAAAGAGCCCUUUAGAAGCACUCAUACAAACAUACAAAUGGACAUCCCAACGUGGUCGAGAGGACAUGGAAAUGAGAUUUGAAGAAGCCAUACUUGAAAUGUUUUUCAUAUUUGUUGAAAAUGUGCAAGGUAAAAGAACAGGAAAUAUAACAGAAACAUCAGUGAGGUUACCAGUCAGGUCCUGAUGCAGUAAAAAUAUCUGAAAAGCCACCAAGAAUGAAGCUGUGCACACACAGAGCCGCAAAGGUGCUGGGGACAGCUGACUACAUCUCUUAAACUAUGGAAAUUAAAAGACAGUGGAACUGUGUGCUUGGAAGAAA
rnacentral:lncRNA from 1 species